AUUGUAUCAAUGUAGUUUACAUGGUGCAGUCAUCCAAGCUCUCAGCCAAACCAUUGAAACUGUUUGUUGAUGUUCUAGGUGUAGGAUUGUAUAACUGUAGUUUACAUGGUGCAGUCAUCCAAGCUCUCAGACAAACCAUUGAAACUGUUUGUUGAUGUUCUAGGUGUAGGAUUGUAUUUAGUAGUUUACAUGGUGCAGUCAUCCAAGCUCUCAGCCAAACCAUUGAAACUGUUUGUUGAUGUUCUAGGUGUAGGAUUGUAUAACUGUAGUUUACAUGGUGCAGUCAUCCAAGCUCUCAGACAAACCAUUGAAACUGUUUGUUGAUGUUCUAGGUGUAGGAUUGUAUAAAUGUAGUUUACAUGGUGCAGUCAUCCAAGCUCUCAGACAAACCAUUGAAACUGUUUGUUGAUGUUCUAGGUGUAGGAUUGUAUAAAUGUAGUUUACAUGGUGCAGUCAUCCAAGCUCUCAGACAAACCAUUGAAACUGUUUGUUGAUGUUCUAGGUGUAGGAUUGUAUAACUGUAGUUUACAUGGUGCAGUCAUCCAAGCUCUCAGACAAACCAUUGAAACUGUUUGUUGAUGUUCUAGGUGUAGGAUUGUAUAACUGUAGUUUACAUGGUGCAGUCAUCCAAGCUCUCAGACAAACCAUUGAAACUGUUUGUUGAUGUUCUAGGUGUAGGAUUGUAUAACUGUAGUUUACAUGGUGCAGUCAUCCAAGCUCUCAGACAAACCAUUGAAACUGUUUGUUGAUGUUCUAGGUGUAGGAUUGUAUAACUGUAGUUUACAUGGUGCAGUCAUCCAAGCUCU